AUGGGAACUCUAAAGAGACUGCCGGCGACAAGCCGGAGGAAGGCGGGGACGACGUCAAGUUCAUCAUGGCCCUUAUGCCUUGGGCUACACACAUGCUACAAUGGCGGAUACAAUGGGUUGCCAAACUGUAAAGUGGAGCCAAUCCCAUCAAAGUCCGUCUCAGUUCGGAUUGCAGGCUGCAACUCGCCUGCAUGAAGUUGGAAUCGCUAGUAAUCGUGGAUCAGCACUGCCACGGUGAAUACGUUCCCGGGCCUUGCACACACCGCCCGUCACACCACGAAAGUCGGUUCUACCCGAAGUGGUUGAGCUAACCCGCAAGGGGGGCAGACUCCUGAGGUAGGGCUGGUGAUUGGGGUGAAGUCGUAACAAGA
rnacentral:rRNA from 1 species